rnacentral:rRNA from 1 species
GUGCUCAUACAUGCAAGUCGAACGAGAAUCUGGCUUCGGUCAGAGGAAAGUGGCGGACGGGUGAGUAAUGUGUAGAGAAUCUGCCCUUUAGUGGGGGACAACAGUUGGAAACGACUGCUAAUACCCCAUAUGCGCGUAGCUGAGAUGCUAUUCGUGAAAACUCCGGUGCUAAAGGAUGAGUCUGCAUCUGAUUAGCUAGUUGGCGGUGUAAUGGACCACCAAGGCGACGAUCAGUAGCUGGUUUGAGAGGAUGAUCAGCCACAAUGGGACUGAGACACGGCCCAUACUCCUACGGGAGGCAGCAGUAGGGAAUUUUGCGCAAUGGGGGAAACCCUGACGCAAGCAACGCCGCGUGAUUGAAUAAGCCCUUCGGGGUGUAAAGAUCUGUCAGUAGGGACGAAACUUGACGGUACCUACAGAGGAAGCAUCGGCUAACUCCGUGCCAGCCGCAGC